rnacentral:rRNA from 1 species
UCCCUAAAGUGCUAAGGCUAUCGUUUAUUAAGACGACGCCGCUGACGCAAGAGGAGGGGGGUCGGGGUGGGGUGGGGUGGUUGUGAGGAGAGCGAGCGAGCGAGCGGCGGCGGACGAGGCGCGCUAGCUGAGGCCCUCGCCCUCGGCCUCGCCUGCGGAGAGACGGGCGACUCGAGGGAGCGCGGGGAGGAGCACUCGAGCUUUAUGUACUUCUACAGCCUUGUAAGACUCUCGUGCCGACUUUUCGAGUACCCGUUGUAGUACCUAUGGUAACGACUGUUCGAGGGAUUCGUCUUCAGACUGUUAUAGUACUCGUUGUAGUACCUAUGGUAAAGACUGUUCGAGGGAUUCGUCUCCAGACCGGCCAAGCUAGGACCAAGUCAGCGACUACACUUCUUGUUCUACAAACCAGCAGUCUCCAGGGAGGUACCUCAAGACCCACCGCCUUUCAGACGACUACACAACAAUACCUCCUUGUUCUUCUAUAGAAGGUCACAAAACCCAGAGCGCUGUCGAUAGACCCAAAAGAAGCUCACCGAACUAAUGGUGAAGAACUGUUAGUAAAGUAAACGGGAACAAGAACCUUACCACCAAGUCAAACAAACCAGGUUGAAGAGUUCCAGAAGACUUUAUGGGGCCCAAUUCAACGGUCUCCUGGACAAACACUUGUAACGACAACGGUAGCCACGGGUUCAUUUGUUCAAGGAACCAAAGGAAGUUCUACACAGAACACUUUCUUUGAACUUCGUAAAACAUAACCGUUAACAGCCUAACACCCGACGAAGACACCGACCCUCGACCAAGUUGAAGGACUGACAGUAAAUGUAACCCAAGCAGACACGCGUGUGCGAGGGACACGACAUGCUCUUCAUGCUCCUGGUCCAGCUGCUGAAGGAGAUGUCGUAGGACCCGGACGAGGCUCUCGUCAUGGUCUUUGAGCUGUCGCCGCAGGACUCGUCCUACGGGUGGUUCUCCUUGUUCUUCUCGCUUAUCUAAUCUAGCCUCCCGUGAGUACUAAAUAGCUCACUUUAGGGAAGACGGAUCAAACACACGACGCCUGGACAUCACAGUACACUCUCGUACACACGAGUUCACGAAGGACUUGUCUUGGUCUUGCGACCAAAUUUAAAUUGGCGCUGCGAACGCAGACAAGAGGGUCAAUAAACACCCUACGACGAGUAUAUAACCUUCAACAGACGUAUAUAACCUUCAACUCGAGUCUAAGCAACACGAAACAGUCUUACUCUUAACGAACGACGGUAUAGGUUU